GUUUUUAUAGUUGAAUUACAACGGCAGUUUUUCAUGUUGUCGGUUUAGGUUAAAACCCUGAUAAGAAUA
rnacentral:tRNA from 1 species